rnacentral:lncRNA from 1 species
AAGGCUGGAAACAGUCCUGUCAAUAUAAGAGGACUUUCUCCGUGCUGUGCACCUAGGGUUGAGAGCAGGGGUGAAACAGGACCAACAACCCUGCUUUCUUGCUGGCUGUCACCUGAGGACCAUUCCCAGCUUUUAAAAUUAAUCUGCAAAAUUUAUAUAUAUAUAUCGGGUUUCUUGACUCAUGAUUCCAUUUCUUCAUCUUCAAAGCCAGAGAAUACGGGUGGAGUCCCUCUCAAGGGAGACCCAAGUGAAGAUACGAAGCUGGUACUUUUUGGAAAAAUGAGAAGAGUUGUUGUGGUCAGAGGUUUGAGAUAAUUGAUUUGGAGAGAGAAAACUGAGUUGUACAGAAAAACAUCAUAGAGACAACUGGUAAGAUUUUUUUUUUUUUCCUGAAAUACAUGCAUGCCCGUAUUUUCACCCCAAUUAGGUUAUCUCUCUGAUAGCAAACAUGUGCUUAAUAACUCCUGUGUUUUUCUUAUAGCAGGUUUCUGAGUGUGUGAAAAAUACUAAUAGAUAAUUGUUGAUUUUACAAUAAAAUUGAUUCAUUAUGAAUUGCUGUUUUUUGUACUGGCUAUACAAUUGCUUAUGUAUCAGUAUCAUAUUUUCAUUAAGGAAAUGA